UGGGGAAUCUUGGACAAUGGGCGCAAGCCUGAUCCAGCAAUGCCGCGUGGGUGAAGAAGGCCUGCGGGUUGUAAAGCCCUUUCGGUGGGGAGGAACGGUCUGAUGCUAAUACCAUGAGGCGCUGCCGUUACCCACAGAAGAAGCACCGGCCAACUCCGUGCCAGCAGCCGCGGUAAUACGGAGGGUGCGAGCGUUAAUCGGAAUUACUGGGCGUAAAGGGCGCGUAGGUGGUGCGUUGAGUCAGCUGUGAAAGCCCUGGGCUUAACCUGGGAAUGGCAGUUGAGACUGGCGUGCUGGAGUGCGAUAGAGGACGGCGGAAUUCCCGGUGUAGCGGUGAAAUGCGUAGAGAUCGGGAGGAACACCGAUGGCGAAGGCAGCCGUCUGGGUCGACACUGACGCUGAGGCGCGAAGGCGUGGGGAGCAAACAGG
rnacentral:rRNA from 1 species